CCGAAGCAGGGGCUCAAACCCACGAACUGUGAGAAUAUGACCUGAGCCCAAACCAAGAAUCGAAUGCUUAACUGACUGAGCCACCCAGGCGCCCCUUGUUUGCAUGUUCUAGUAGGCAACUUCAUCGACCUCACUGGGCAGACUGGCGACAAGGAGCCAGGCAGCACCCAGGGACACAGUACAGCCUCCGCGACAGGGUGUGGAGGCUUUUUUAAGCCACAUAACCUAAUAGAAGGACACCUUCCUCCCUGUUCCAGACGUGUAUACGUGCGUCCUCGUAAGGAAAGGACACAGGACGUCAGAGUUCAUGGCAAGGCACUGGCGAGGGUUGGAUUCGCUCCCAGCCAGGCCAAGCACUUUUAUUCCCAGUGGCGACAGGAGAGGGCGCUCUCGGAGGGCAGAGUCCUGGUCCCACCCAACCCGUUCCUCCUGCUUCUUCCGUUGCGGCAACAUUCACCACCGACUUAUUCUCUUCCCCCCUCAGGCCACCUUCCGAGAUCAGGUGAGAGCUUACCUGUCCUCAGAAUGCACGGGUGGAGAGCCCGCUGCUUUCCUGCACUAGAGGGUGUGCCUCGCUUGCCCUUCCUUGUGGCAAAGUCAGAAAACAGUCUUGGGUUUGAAUCGUGGACUUGACCUCUUGCUGCCACUGUGGGCCUGGCCUUUGAGAUCCAGUGUCUCCAUCUGCGGCUGGGGUCGUAUUCCGGAGUCACUUCAAGGUGAGCUGCUGGCCUUAAAAAGUCCUUUGAUAUUUUGGUUUAAGCUGCUGUCCCGUUUGAGGCACCGACAGAUUCAAGUAACAGCUGGAGCCCUUUGUUCCUAACUCUCUCAUCUCAAGUUUCUGGGUGGAUUUCUUUUUGGAGAUAAUAGUCUAUGAAUCACCUUUGAAAUGAGAAUUUAUCAGCUUAGGCACUGUUCUCUUUGAAUUGUCAGAGUAAGAAUAAAAGUAACUCCCUGAAGUGUUGCUUCCUAGAUCCACUGCAAAGAUGGAGAGGAAUCCCCCAGCCCCCUUCAUCCCCAUCCGGGGACUAUGCUUGCUUGCUUGCUUUUUUAUUUGAGUAUCCUUGACACCCAAUGUUGCGUUAGUUUCAAGUGUAUAACGUAGUGAUUCAGCAAGUCUAUACGUUAUGCUGUGUUCACAAGUGUAGCUGCCAUCUGUUAACAUACAGGUCAUUACAACACCCCUGACUGUAUUCCCUGUGCUGUGCCUUUUAUCCCUGUGACUUAUCCGUUCCAUAAUGGGAAGCUUGAAUGUGCCACUGCCACUCCCCUUUGCCCAUUCGCCCCACACCCUUUCCCUCUGGCAACCAUCAGCUUGUUCUCUGUAUUUGUAGGUCUGAUUCUGCUUUUUGUCUGUUUAUUCAUUUUUUUUUUUUUAGAUUUCAUAUAUGAAUGAAACCAUAUGCUUUUUGACUAUCUCAGUCUGACUUGUUUUAUUUAGUGUAAUACCCUGUAGGGCCAUCCGUGUUGUCACAAAUGACAAGAUCUCAUCCUUUUUUAUGGCUGAGUAAUAUUCCAUUGU